GAUGAACGCUGGCGGCGUGCCUAAUACAUGCAAGUCGAGCGAAUGGAUUAAGAGCUUGCUCUUAUGAAGUUAGCGGCGGACGGGUGAGUAACACGUGGGUAACCUGCCCAUAAGACUGGGAUAACUCCGGGAAACCGGGGCUAAUACCGGAUAACACUUUGAACCGCAUGGUUCGAAAUUGAAAGGCGGCUUCGGCUGUCACUUAUGGAUGGACCCGCGUCGCAUUAGCUAGUUGGUGAGGUAACGGCUCACCAAGGCAACGAUGCGUAGCCGACCUGAGAGGGUGAUCGGCCACACUGGGACUGAGACACUGCCCAGACUCCUACGGGAGGCAGCAGUAGGGAAUCUUCCGCAAUGGACGAAAGUCUGACGGAGCAACGCCGCGUGAGUGAUGAAGGCUUUCGGGUCGUAAAACUCUGUUGUUAGGGAAGAACAAGUGCUAGUUGAAUAAGCUGACACCUUGACGGUACCUAACCAGAAAGCCACGGCUAACUACGUGCCAGCAGCCGCGGUAA
rnacentral:rRNA from 1 species